GCUGCUGAACCAAGUGAAUGGGGACUCCAAAUGCCUGGAGAUCUUUCUGGGAGUGGAACAGAGAGAACCCUGCUGUACCACAAUCUCUGUACAGGAAUGGUGGGGUAGCUCAGUCUGCUGAACCAGGUGAACAGCUUUUCUGAGUGCCUAGUGAUCUGACUGGGCAUGGAGCAGAAUAAGUCUUGCUGCACCAAGAUCUGUGUCCAGGAAAGACCUCCUCAGUGGACAUCUUUUCAACAAUUUGACUGUGAAGAUCAUGAGCACAUCAUCUUCUUUGUAUUUAUCCUGCCUGAAAAGAGCUUGGUAUUAUUACAUAUGAGGCUCAUGAAAGGAUGGAAAGGACCCUGGAAACCACUUUGGAAUACAGGUUUCUGAUGACUAGAAUCAUGUCAUUUGGACUGGGUAAAGAAAGCUUUUAUGGGUCACUGACUGAGGACAAUCAACCCCUUAACAACCUAGAACCUGAAGACUGGAUCUUCUGAGAACAUCAGAGAAAGACUGCUCUUGCCACCUGUACUGCAGCAUAACUUCAGGACCUGAACCUUGGGUUCAUAAUCUCAUAACCAAGAAGGGUCCCUCCAUACUCUUGGAACUGUACACCCAUUGGAAACCUUAAGGUGAAGCUAACCUGGGAAGUCUCUCCCCAGAAGAUGGCAUCCUUAAUGUGAACAGCUUCUCCUAAGAUCACAGAUCAGGACUUCUCUACUAUCAUGAGACUCUUAUCUUUGAAUAUUUGUUCUCUUGCUGAUGCCUCUAUGAAAAACAGAAGUGAAAGCGGGUCUUUUGUGUGAACUCAUGGGGUAUACUUUUAUUUGUGAAGGACUUUACAGCCAGCCUUAAACAUGGAUAACCUUAUACUUUGAUAAAUGAAAGAUGAAGACCCAAUGCAGGUUGUAAAUUUUAAUGGUACGUACUUUGCCUCAUAAUCAGUUAGAAACAGAACAUUUGUUUGCUCCUCUUAACCUACGUCAUGGGUUAAUGAGAACAUUGCCAGGAAGCGUUCACUCUUCUAGAAGGACAUCAUUGUUAGGUCCUUUUCCAUGGUUUGGAGUAAAAGAUGCAAUGAUUAGAAAUAUAUUCCUCAUGAUAGUCUCUAUAGCAGAUUCUACUGUAAAGGUUAUGGUUACACAACAGACUUUAAAUUAUCUUGUGAAUAUUAUGCUAAAUAAUAGAAUUACUCUAGAUUACUUACUGGCUAAGCGGGAAACCAUCUCUGCAGCUGCUGGCACUUGUGGCCUAUGGAGAAAUACAUCACGUUAGGUAUUAUAGAGAUUCAGUUGUAGGGGAUUAAUGCAGAGACUGCUUAGUUAAGCAAGUGGAUUCUUUAGCUCAUUCUUUGAUCUAUUUAAUUGUAAGUGGUUUUGUUUACGGGGACCCUGGGUAAGGACCAUACUCCAAAUAUUAUCCUCCUGACAGCCAUAAUGGUAGUUCCCCAGUGUGCUGUAUUCUCUCAAAAGUUUUAAAUGUUUGCAUUCAGCCAUACCUAGAAUGUCAAAUGGUCUCUCUUUAACUGGAAUGAAAAGAGAUGAAAGAACUGUGUGACCAGGAGGGCACUGUAACCUAUGAAUGACAUGCUGAGACUGGACACCCAAAAUGAUGGUAACUAAGAGUAGCACUAAGGCCCUAAGUUUUGGUCACACUCUCACCUAAGUGAGAAGCUGACCAAAAAGGGGGAAUAUCAAUAUAUUUACUUUAAGUUCUGGAAUACAUGUGCAGAACGUGCAGGUUUGUUACAUAGGUACACGUGCCAUGGUGGUUUGCUGCACUGAUCAACCCGUAAUCUACAUUAGGUAUUUCUCCUAAUACCAUUUCUCACCUAGCCCCCCAACCCCUGACAGGCCCCAGUGUGUAAUGUUACCCUCCCUGUGUCCACGUGUUCUCAUUGUUCGACUCCCACUUAUGAGUGAGAAUAUGCGGUGUUUGGUUUUCUGUUCUUGUGUUAGUUUCCUGAGAAUGAUGAUUUCCAGCUUCAUCCAUGUCCCUGCAAAGGUCAUGAACUCAUCCUUUUUUAUGGCUGCAUAGUAUUCCAUGGUGUAUAUGUGCCACAUUUUCUUUAUUCAGUCUAUCAUUAAUGGGCAUUUGGAUUGGUUCCAAGUCUUUGCUAUUGUGAACAAUGUUGCAAUAAACAUACAUAUGCAUGUG
rnacentral:lncRNA from 10 species